UGGAAGAGGGGGAAGGAGGGUGAAAGAGGGAGGGGAGAGGGAAAAGGAGAGAAAGGGGAGUCUCUAUUACCUGUAGAUAAAAGAAGGGAGGGAAAUGAAUAAGGGAAAUAAAGAGAGGGGAACAGAGAGGUGAGAGGUUGGGGAGAGAAAAAUGGGAGAGGAGAGGGGAAGAGGGAGGGUGGAGGAAGUUGAGAGGAAACAAACAUGAAUAGAGAAACUGGAGGAAAGGAAAAGGAAUAAGAGGAAAAAUGGAUGUGAGAGAGAGAGAGAGAGAGAGAGAGAGAGAGAGAGAGAGAGAGAGAGAGAGAGAGAGAGAGAGAGAGAGAGAGAGAGAGAGAGAGAGAGAGAGAGAGAAUGCAACGACACUCAUGUCAGCCAAUCUUUACUCUCACUCUAAUGCCCUUGCUUAUUUUUCCAGGUGUUCAGGUGUGAGAGGACAGGUGAGCGUGGGAGACUGAAAGCCGGGACAGGUGUUACAGCGGGGCAGGUGUUUUGAUCUCCUCGCUGCUGCUCGUCGCGUCCCAGCAGGCGAGGCUUGUCCCUCGUGAUUACCACCGCCCCGUGCCACCACGCGAAUUAUGAGGCAAGGGAGUGAGGUGCCUCGUGUCGUUCCCGCCCACCCUCCAAAGAUAUAUUCAGGUACCUG